AUUGAACGCUGGCGGCAUGCCUUACACAUGCAAGUCGAACGGUAACAGGUCUUCGGAUGCUGACGAGUGGCGAACGGGUGAGUAAUACAUCGGAACGUGCCCGAUCGUGGGGGAUAACGGAGCGAAAGCUUUGCUAAUACCGCAUACGAUCUACGGAUGAAAGCAGGGGACCGCAAGGCCUUGCGCGAACGGAGCGGCCGAUGGCAGAUUAGGUAGUUGGUGGGAUAAAAGCUUACCAAGCCGACGAUCUGUAGCUGGUCUGAGAGGACGACCAGCCACACUGGGACUGAGACACGGCCCAGACUCCUACGGGAGGCAGGAGUGGGGAAUUUGGGACAAUGGGCGCAAGCCUGAUCCAGCAAUGCCGCGUGCAGGAUGAAGGCCUUCGGGUUGUAAACGGCUUUUGUACGGAACGAAAAGGCUCUGGUUAAUACCUGAGGCUCAUGACGGUACCGUAAGAAUAAGCACCGGCUAACUACGCGCCAGCAGCCGCCGUAAAAC
rnacentral:rRNA from 1 species